rnacentral:rRNA from 1 species
AGGUGGUUUGUUAAGUCAGAUGUGAAAGCCCGGGGCUCAACCUCGGAAUUGCAUUUGAAACUGGCAAACUAGAGUACUGUAGAGGGGGUAGAAUUUCAGGUGUAGCGGUGAAAUGCGUAGAGAUCUGAAGGAAUACCGGUGGCGAAGGCGGCCCCCUGGACAGAUACUGACACUCAGAUGCGAAAGCGUGGGGAGCAAACAGGAUUAGAUACCCUGGUAG